rnacentral:ncRNA from 13 species
GGCGAUGAGGCCCGCCCAAACUGCCCUGAAAAGGGCUGAUGGCCUCUACUG